UUUCCAGUGAUCUCCACUUGACUCCUUACCUCUUUCAUUUGGUUGUAAAUACCACAAUUUAAACUAGCUACCUGCUGCUGUGACCCUGCAUGGGAGGUUGUCUUGACAGAUGUGGCAGGCUUCCCUGGCCCCUUCCUCCUCUAGGAAACCUGUCAAGCACAAUGCCUGCUGUGGGAGCCACCUUCUCCAACUGACACCGCCUGACCCCAGCUUCCAGCUCACUCCCCGCUCUGUGAAGGAAGCAGCUCCAGUUUACAAGGAGGAAAUUGGAACAAGGCUGGCUGCUGUGUUUCAAGACAAAGACUGCUGCCACACCGGGGAGAGGAUGGGGCCAGGGCUGCUGUGUAUCCUGGGACCAUCUGCAAGGACACUCUACUGCAGGUGCCUGAUCAGACUUCAAACUGAUAUUUUUGUUGAGAAGUUGAAAGAGGGAGAUUGUAAACGGGCCCAAAGUCCUUCUGGAGAAAAACUACUGUGAGGGAAAAUUUUAGCAGGAGGAAAGAUUUUGUCAGGCUGAAUUGAUCCAGUUGUGUUUCCAGGGCAUCCAAGCCUCUCCCUGCGGCCCUGGCCCGCCUCCUCCCCAUGCACCAGGCUCUGGCUCCCGGGUACUCCUCCUGCCAUGGGGCCCACGCAGCAGCUACAAUGCAUGCUUUGUUCAGGGAGCCCUGGGGAGGCAGCUGGCUACAAAAAAGUUCAUCCACUAACUGGGCUUGUCCUUGACAUCUGGCUUCUCUCCUAGGACCUCAUUUUCCCCAACUUAAGUGGGAUUUUGAAUUAAUGAAAUUAUAGCCCUUUGAACUGACUUGAGAAUUCUCUCCCAGGCUCAAAUUACAUCUCCACUCAGUGUGUCUAGAUGGCUCCAACACUUUCACAGAUCAUCCCCUCCCAACCCCUAGGAGAUCAUCUACAUUGCUGUUUUCCAGUUGUAGAAGAAUGUGAUUCAAUAGAACCUACUGCCUGAGACAGUGAUAGCAUGUGUGCAUUUAUUGAGAGCACUAUACUAGGCAUUUUAUACUAAUUUUCUCUAAAAUUCACAACCCAUAAGGUAAAUAAUGAUACAAUAUCCCAAUUUUUCUGACAAGGAGACCAAAGCUUUUGUCUACAGUUACUCAGCUAGAGGGUGGCAGAAGCUAGAUUUGAACCCAUAUCCCUCUAAUGCUAAAGCCUGUGAGACUCCACGGUGUCCCUCUAAGUCACAAGUUGUCUGUGAGUGUAUAUUUACAAACACAUGUGGACAAAAAUUUUGAUAGUAGCAUCCACAAACGUCACAUUGAGAUGUGAAACAGGCCUCUAAUAAAUCAGAUCGGGAUAUCUUCUUUGCUUCUCACCUGGCAUGAUGCUGGGUUUGUGGCAAGAUACAAAUAUGUAUAAAGUUGGCCUCCUGUUGCCUCAACACGAGAUGCCUUUACAUCCUAAAAUUGCUAUUACUUAAGUUAAAAUACAUCACACAGUCUACUUCAGCCUGCUUCAGGUCAACUUGUGGUUGUCACAGGGGCCAGCCUCAGAGGUAGACAGAGUUUAGACUUUUCAGUCUUACCCCCAGUGUCCUUCUUCUCUCACUGGGAAUUUCCCUUUGAUAUUCCCACCAAAUACCCUUGCCCUGGAUGGAGUCAUAUUCUCUGAAGUAUCUUCCAUUCAAGGGUCCUAAGAGUCAAGGUCAUUCCUGAUGGAAACACACGCCUAGGAAAAGAAAAUCAACCCUCAAUGUGAUCUAGGUCCUUUAGAUCUAAUUUCCACUUUUUAAAAAAAUCCAAGGGUCAGAGGGACAUGUUAAAUGACACCAUAAGAACAUAGCAGCAAGUCCAGACUGGGGGAAACUGCAGGACAAAUGACCUGGUUUCUUCUCCAAUAAGAAUUUGUAAAGAAAAAAAGGCCAAGUGUAGGUGCCCAUGCCUGUAAUCCUAGCACUUUGGGAAGCUGAGGUGGCGGGAUCGCUCGAGCUCAGGAGUUCAGCCUGGGCCACAUAAUGAGACCUCAUCUCUACUAAAAAUUAAAAAAAAAUUCACUGGGCAUAGUGGCACCCACCUGUAGUCCUGGCUGUUUGGGAGCCUGAGGUGGGAAGAUUGCUUGAGCCCAGGAGGUUGAGGCUGCAGUGAGCCGUGAUUGUGCCACUGCACUCCAGCCUGGGGGACAGAAUGAAACUGUAUUGAAGAAGAAGAACAAGAACAAGAAGAAGAAGAAGAAGAGGAAGAGGAAGAGGAAGAGGAGGAAGAGGAGGAGGAGGAGGAAGAGGAAGAGGAAGAAAGAAGAAGAAGAAGGAGGAUUUAUAGAAUAUGUAGAUAGAAAGAAACUUCAGAGACAAAUCAACCAAUCUCAGUAUAUGAAUCUCUUAUUAAAUCCAGAGUCAAACAAAUGAAGUACAAAUUACAAGACAAUUGGGAAAAUGCAAACACUGGCUGGGUAUAUUAUGAGACUAAG
rnacentral:lncRNA from 1 species